rnacentral:rRNA from 1 species
GACGAACGCUGGCGGCGUGCUUAACACAUGCAAGUCGAACGGAAAGGCCCUGCUUGCAGGGUGCUCGAGUGGCGAACGGGUGAGUAACACGUGGGUGAUCUGCCCCUUACUUUGGGAUAAGCCUGGGAAACUGGGUCUAGUACUGGAUAGGACCAUGCUGUAGGUGGUGUGGUGGAAAGAUUAGUUUCGGUAAGGGAUGAGCUCGCGGCCUAUCAGCUUGUUGGUGGGGUAAUGGCCUACCAAGGCGUCGACGGGUAGCCGGCCUGAGAGGGUGGACGGCCACAUUGGGACUGAGAUACGGCCCAGACUCCUACGGGAGGCAGCAGAGGGGAAUAUUGCGCAAUGGGCGCAAGCCUGAUGCAGCGACGCCGCGUGGGGGAUGACGGCCUUCGGGUUGUAAACUCCUUUCAGCCAUGACGAAGCCCUUGUGGUGACGGUAGUGGUAGAAGAAGCACCGGCUAACUACGUG